rnacentral:tRNA from 1 species
GGGCGCAUAGCUCAGUUGGCUAGAGCCACCGGCUCAUAACCGGUCGGUCGUAGGUUCGAAUCCUACUGCGCCCACCA